rnacentral:rRNA from 1 species
GACGAACGCUGGCGGCGUGCCUAAUACAUGCAAGUCGAGCGAACAGACCAGGAGUUUGCUCCUCUGACGUUAGCGGCGGAGGGGAGAGUAACACGUGUAUAACCUACCUAUAAGACUGGGAUAAUUACGGGAAACAGGAUCUAAUCCCGGAUAAUAUAUUGAACCGCAUGGUUCAAUAGUGAAAUUCGGUUUUUGGGUCACUAAUAGCUGGUUCCGCGCGGCAUUAGCUAGUUGGUAAGGAAACGGCUUACCAAGGCUGCGAUGGGUACCCGACCUGAGAGGGUGAUCGGCCACACGGGAGCUGAGACAGGGUCCAGACUCCUGCGGGAGGCAGCAGUAGGGAAUCUUCCGCAAUGGGCGAAAGCCUGACGGAGCAACGCCGCGUGAGUGAUGAAGGUGUUCGGAUCGGAAAGCUCUGUUAUUAGGGGAGAACAAAUGUGUAAGUAACUGUGCACGUCUUGACGGUACCGGGUCAGAAAGCCACGGCUAACUACGUG